rnacentral:misc_RNA from 1 species
UCCGGCUUAUCACCGGCGGUUUCUUUAGAGUGCCCAACUAAAUGAUGGCAACUAAAGACGAGGGUUGCGCUCGUUGCGGGACUUAACCCAACAUCUCACGACACGAGCUGACGACAGCCAUGCAGCACCUGUCACUCAUCCAGCCGAACUGAAGGAAAUCAUCUCUGAAAUCCGCGAUGAGGAUGUCAAACGCUGGUAAGGUUCUGACAGCCGUAGAGAUACGGAUUCCUGGGUAAAAC